ACAGAAUAUGGAUAUGUCAGGAAUGGCAUGCAUUUAAAAUCAAGCAAACACAAACAUUUUCUAUCACAUCUACUCAGACUCAUAAAAUACUCAACGAUAGAACAUAAUAGACAAUUCAGUUGGAAUAUGACUUCAAAAAAGAAUUUGUUUGGAAUGUGACUUCAGAAAAGAAUUUGUUUACAUUCUCCACAAGUUUAAACCACUUA
rnacentral:misc_RNA from 1 species